AGUGAACGCUGGCGGCGUGCCUAAUACAUGCAAGUCGAACGGAGAUUAAGUAGCUUGCUAUUUAAUCUUAGUGGCGCACGGGUGAGUAAUAUAUAGCUAACUUGCCCAUUACUAAGGGACAACAGUUGGAAACGACUGCUAAUACCUUAUACUCCGUAUCUAUAUAAGUAGAUACGGGAAAGUUUUUCGGUAAUGGAUAGGGCUAUAUCGUAUCAGCUAGUUGGUAAGGUAAUGGCUUACCAAGGCUAUGACGCGUAACUGGUCUGAGAGGAUGAUCAGUCACGCUGGAACUGAGACACGGUCCAGACUCCUACGGGAGGCAGCAGUAGGGAAUAUUGCUCAAUGGGGGCAACCCUGAAGCAGCAACGCCGCGUGGAGGAUGACACUUUUCGGAGCGUAAACUCCUUUUCUUGGGAAAGAAUUAUGACGGUACCCAAGGAAUAAGCACCGGCUAACUCCGUG
rnacentral:rRNA from 1 species